CCUUGUGAGACAAGGACACUCAUGCUCUAAAAAGACGUACCAUUAGGGCAACUGACUCCACACCUUCUGGUCAGAGUGCUGAGGUGGUCUAUUAUUGGACUCAGCUAACCGCAAGAAUGAGCUCCCUCACGAAUGAGACAUAAACCAAGGAUGCCAAGAAAAGAUGCCCAAGAUUGACGACUGACCUCACCCUGCCACCCAGAGAAAGCUCCACCCCUUAUGAUCUCAGCCCUAUAAAGACAGCUCGGUCCCAGAAGGUGACGUCAAAUGCCCAACUGACACUUGUAAAGAACAGAGCUCCUGAAUGCCAGCUCUUAUGAUUUAAGUCUUUUAUGUUUAUAUUAAAAGAGGUUACCAAGGAAGUACCCCAACCUUUCUUUCAUAGUU